rnacentral:rRNA from 1 species
GAUGAACGCUGGCGGCGUGCCUAAUACAUGCAAGUCGAGCGAAUGGAUUAAGAGCUUGCUCUUAUGAAGUUAGCGGCGGACGGGUGAGUAACACGUGGGUAACCUGCCCAUAAGACUGGGAUAACUCCGGGAAACCGGGGCUAAUACCGGAUAACAUUUUGAACAGCAUGGUUCUAAAUUGAAAGGCGGCUUCGGCUGUCACUUAUGGAUGGACCCGCGUCGCAGUGGCUAGUUGGUGAGGUAACGGCUCACCAAGGCAACGAUGCGUAGCCGACCUGAGAGGGUGAUCGGCCACACUGGGACUGAGACACGGCCCAGACUCCUACGGGAGGCAGCAGUAGGGAAUCUUCCGCAAUGGACGAAAGUCUGACGGAGCAACGCCGCGUGAGUGAUGAAGGCUUUCGGGUCAUAAAACUCUGUUGUUAGGGAAGAACAAGUGCUAGUUGAAUAAGCUGGCACCUUGACGGUACCUAACCAGAAAGCCACGGCUAACUACGUGCCAGCAGCCGCGGUAA